UACGGGGGGGGCAAGCGUUGUUCGGAAUUACUGGGCGUAAAGGGCUCGUAGGUGGCCAACUCAGUCAGACGUGAAAUCCCUCGGCUUAACCGGGGAACUGCGUCUGAUACUGGAUGGCUUGAGUUUGGGAGAGGGAUGCGGAAUUCCAGGUGUAGCGGUGAAAUGCGUAGAUAUCUGGAGGAACACCGGUGGCGAAGGCGGCAUCCUGGACCAACACUGACACUGAGGAGCGAAAGCCAGGGGAGCAAACGGG
rnacentral:rRNA from 1 species